rnacentral:sRNA from 1 species
ACGGGCUGCCGCGGUCGGCGCUUGACU